UACGGGGGGGGCAAGCGUUGUUCGGAAUUACUGGGCGUAAAGGGCUCGUAGGCGGCCAACUAAGUCGGAUGUGAAAUCCCCAAGCUUAACUUGGGAACUGCAUCCGAUACUGGAUGGCUUGAAUCCGGGAGAGGGAUGCAGAAUUCCAGGUGUAGCGGUGAAAUGCGUAGAUAUUGGGAAGAACACCUGAGGCGAAGGCGGGUUGCUGGGCCGACACUGACGCUG
rnacentral:rRNA from 1 species